rnacentral:rRNA from 1 species
GGUGAGUAACGCGUGGGUAACCUGCCUCAUACAGGGGGAUAACAGCUGGAAACGGCUGCUAAUACCGCAUAAGCGCACAGUACCGCAUGGUACGGUGUGAAAAACUCCGGUGGUAUGGGAUGGACCCGCGUCUGAUUAGCCAGUUGGCGGGGUAACGGCCCACCAAAGCGACGAUCAGUAGCCGACCUGAGAGGGUGACCGGCCACAUUGGGACUGAGACACGGCCCAAACUCCUACGGGAGGCAGCAGUGGGGAAUAUUGCACAAUGGGGGAAACCCUGAUGCAGCGACGCCGCGUGAGCGAAGAAGUAUUUCGGUAUGUAAAGCUCUAUCAGCAGGGAAGAAGAAAUGACGGUACCUGACUAAGAAGCCCCGGCUAACUACGUGCCAGCAGCCGCGGUAAUACGUAGGGGGCAAGCGUUAUCCGGAUUUACUGGGUGUAAAGGGAGCGCAGGCGGAUGGCUAAGUCUGAUGUGAAAGCCCGGGGCUCAACCCCGGGACUGCAUUGGAAACUGGUUAUCUUGAGUGUCGGAGAGGUAAGUGGAACUCCUAGUGUAGCGGUGAAAUGCGUAGAUAUUAGGAGGAACACCAGUGGCGAAGCGGCUUACUGGACGACAACUGACGCUGA